CGCGCACCGCCGAAGCAACGUUGGUCAGGUAUUCACGGGUGGGAGGUUAGGCUUGCCUGUGGGGCGAGGCCUGCACUCGGUAAUGAUCCUUCCGUAGGUGAACCUGCGGAAGGAUCAUUACCGAGUGCAGGCCUCGCCCCACAGGCAGGCCUAACCUCCCACCCGUGAAUACCUGACCAACGUUGCUUCGGCGGUGCGCGCCCCCUUCCCGGGGGGCGUAAGCCGCCGGGGACCACACCGAACUUCUUGUUUUUAGCGUGUCGUCUGAGCUUGAUACAAGCAAACCUAAUUAAAACUUUCAACAAUGGAUCUCUUGGUUCCGGCAUCGAUGAAGAACGCAGCGAACUGCGAUAAGUAAUGUGAAUUGCAGAAUUCAGUGAAUCAUCGAGUCUUUGAACGCACAUUGCGCCCCCUGGCAUUCCGGGGGGCAUGCCUGUCCGAGCGUCAUUGCUGCCCUUCAAGCCCGGCUUGUGUGUUGGGUCGUCGUCCCCCCCGGGGGACGGGCCCGAAAGGCAGCGGCGGCACCGCGUCCUGGUCCUCGAGCGUAUGGGGCUUUGUCACCCGCUCGUUUAGGGCCGGCCGGGCGCCAGCCGGCGUCUCCAAACCUUUUAUUUUACCAGGUUGACCUCGGAUCAGGUAGGGAUAGCCGCUGAACUUAAGCAUAUCAAUAAGCGGAAGAAUCAUUACCGAGUGCAGGCCUCGCCCCACAGGCAGGCUAACCUCCACCCGUGAAUACCUGACCAACGUUGCUUCGGCGGUGCGCGCCCCUUCCCGGGGGGCGUAAGCCGCCGGGACCACACCGAACUAUCUUGUUUUUAGCGUGUCGUCUGAGCUUGAUACAAGCAAACUAAUUAAAACUUUCAACAAUGGGAUCUCUUGGUUCGGCAU
rnacentral:rRNA from 1 species